rnacentral:rRNA from 1 species
AUGGCAGCGACUCGAGCGUGUUUGGUCGCGCUCGCGGUGGCUCUGUCAUUUCUCUUCUUGGAGGGCCCAGCCGCGGUGUUGGCCGCGCCGGCGAAGACCGCGGAGAGUUUGGAGCAGCGGCGACGGGAGGCGCAAAGCCUCCUCAGGCGGCUCAACAAGCCUCCUGUCGCAAGCUUUCAGAGCCCGGAUGGAGAUGUCAUAGACUGUGUGCACAUUUCCAAACAGCCUGCAUUCGACCAUCCUCUCCUCAAAAACCAUACUAUCCAGAUGCGGCCUUCUUACAACCCAGGAGGUAUGUAUCAUGACCCCACCAUCGCACCCCAUCCAAUAACCCAGACAUGGCAUCAAAAUGGUAAGUGCCCCGAGAACACCAUACCAAUCCAGAGGACAAAGGAGCAGGAUGUUCUAAGGGCUAGUUCCAUCAAGAGGUAUGGCAAAAAGAGGCCCAGGAGCAUCCCAAACCUUAGUUCAAUCAAUGACCCUGACACAACCAAUAUCACGAGGGGCCACCAGCAUGCUAUCGCAUCUACAAGUGUUGAUAAGUGCCAUGGAACCAAAGCCACUUUUAAUCUGUGGCAACCAAUGAUUGCGAGAGCCAAUGACUUCAGCUUGGCCCAAUUCUGGAUUAGUGGGGGUUCCUAUCAGGGAAACGACCUCAAUACCAUUGAAGUAGGAUGGCAGGUUUACCCACAAAUGUAUAAUGAUAACAAUGCUAGACUCUUCAUCUUCUCGACUCAUGAUGCAUAUCAAACAGGAUGUUACAACCUAAAGUGCUCAGGGUUCGUCCAAACGGAUAAUCAGAUUGCCCUUGGUGGUACCAUAUCCCCGGUCUCCACCUAUGGAGGCACACAAUAUGACUUGGAUAUUUUAGUUUGGAAGGACCCAAAGAGUGGCAAUUGGUGGUUGCAAGUGGGAACGAAUAAUGUGGGUUAUUGGCCAUCAUUGAUAUUCUCAUACUUGGCUGAUAGUGCAUCUACUGUACAAUGGGGCGGUGAGGUAUUCUCACCCGAUGCCGGCCAAACUUCCACACAGAUGGGUAGUGGACACUUCCCUGAGGAAGGGUUUGGCAAGGCUAGUUAUAUCAAGAACAUACAAGUGGUAGAUUCGUCCAAUAAUCUCAAACCACCAAGUGAUGUGAAGACUAUAGCUAAGCAACAGAACUGCUAUAAUGCAAAAAAUGGUAUGUCUAGCGACAUGGGUACUUACAUCUACUAUGGGGGGCCAGGGAAGAACUCCAAUUGCCCAUGA